rnacentral:misc_RNA from 1 species
UUUUACCUUGCCAUGUGAUUAUUGGUUUGAUAUUAAUAGUGGCUGAAGGAAAAGGAGAAAUUUCAGAGACCAAGAUGAGUACUAUGAUUGAUAAUUCUUCUUUGCCAAUUAGAGCCGUAAAGCUUGAUGGUACUAAUUAUUUUGCGUGGUCAAGAUCUUGUUUGUUAUUUAUUCAGGCUAGAGGACUACAAUGAUAUGUUAUCGGAAAAAAAAAUAAAAAAAAUAAGAACCUGGUAGUUCUACUCAUAGCCAAUAGGAAUAUGAGAAUUCCUUUGUAAUGUCCUAGCUAAUUAAUUCAAUGCAACCACAUAUAGCCGGCAGAUAUUUGCUUUUGAAUAGUGCUAUUGCAAUAUGGAGUGUUGUGUCCCAAACUUAUUCCCAAAUGGGCAAAUGGCACACAAAUCUAUGAGAUACGAAACAAGGUUCAUAAUAUAGAACAAGGAGAGGUGACCAUUGCUCAAUACCUUACUAAAUUGAGUGGUUUGUUGUAAGAACUAGACUAUUACCAAGAUUUUCAGGCCGCCUGUACUGCUGAUGCUAUUAAAUUCCAAAAAUUAAUUAAAAAAGAAUAAAUCUAUGACUUCCUUACAAAGUUGACAAUAGAAUAUGAUCAAAUUUGAAUCCAAGUGUUGGGUAAGGACCCUUUGCCUUCCCUAAGAUAGACUUAUUCAUAUGUGCAACAGGAGGAAAGCCAAAAAAGUGUUAUGAUUCAUUCUAUACCUACUGGGAAGGCUAGGUUAAUAGCUGCUUGAAGCUUCCUCUCAUGAACAAUCACAUAAUGGUCCAUCAGAUAAGAAUUAUUUACAUUGCAAUCAUUGUGAAAAAUCUCAGCAUACAAAGAAACAUUGCUAGAAGUUACAUGGUCGGCCAUCCAAAGGGUGCGGAGUGAAAUGGACAAGCUCAGCAAGACCACAAGCGAAGAUAUAUGAGACAGUAGACUUUUUUGAAGACAUUGCUCCUACUGCCAACAGUGGGAUCCUCUCCAAUGAAGAAGUACAAUUCCUAAGACGUUUGCUGUCACAAUUGGAAUCUCAAAUUGCCACAAUUGCCUUUUCUAAUUUUGUUAAAUAAGGUAAUACUUUUCUGGCCAAUUUUGAAAAAUCUCUUUAGGUUAUAGAUUCUGGAGCAAACAAACAUAUGACAGGCUCUUCG